UACGUAGGGGGCUAGCGUUGUCCGGAAUUAUUGGGCGUAAAGAGCUCGUAGGCGGUCAGUCGCGUCUGCUGUGAAAACCCGAGGCUCAACCUCGGGCCUGCAGUGGGUACGGGCUGGCUAGAGUGCGGUAGGGGGAGACUGGAAUUCCUGGUGUAGCGGUGGAAUGCGCAGAUAUCAGGAGGAACACCGAUGGCGAAGGCAGGUCUCUGGGCCGCAACUGACGCUGAGGAGCGAAAAGCAUGGGGGAGCGAACAGG
rnacentral:rRNA from 1 species